AGAGUUUGAUCAUGGCUCAGGAUGAACGCUGGCGGCGUGCCUAAUACAUGCAAGUCGAACGCUUUGUCUUUAAUUGAUCUGACGAGCUUGCUCUGAUGUGAUUUUAUCUGACAAAGAGUGGCGAACGGGUGAGUAACACGUGGGUAACCUACCUCUUAGCAGGGGAUAACACUUGGAAACAAGUGCUAAUACCGUAUAAUACUAACAACCGCAUGGUUGUUAGUUGAAAGAUGGUUCUGCUAUCACUAAGAGAUGGACCCGCGGUGCAUUAGCUAGUUGGUAAGGUAACGGCUUACCAAGGCAAUGAUGCAUAGCCGAGUUGAGAGACUGAUCGGCCACAAUGGGACUGAGACACGGCCCAUACUCCUACGGGAGGCAGCAGUAGGGAAUCUUCCACAAUGGGCGCAAGCCUGAUGGAGCAACGCCGCGUGUGUGAUGAAGGGUUUCGGCUCGUAAAACACUGUUAUAAGAGAAGAACGGCACUGAGAGUAACUGUUCAGUGUGUGACGGUAUCUUACCAGAAAGGAACGGCUAAAUACGUGCCAGCAGCCGCGGUAAUACGUAUGUUCCAAGCGUUAUCCGGAUUUAUUGGGCGUAAAGCGAGCGCAGACGGUUAUUUAAGUCUGAAGUGAAAGCCCUCAGCUCAACUGAGGAAUGGCUUUGGAAACUGGAUGACUUGAGUGCAGUAGAGGAAAGUGGAACUCCAUGUGUAACGGUGAAAUGCGUAGAUAUAUGGAAGAACACCAGUGGCGAAGGCGGCUUUCUGGACUGUAACUGACGUUGAGGCUCGAAAGUGUGGGUAGCAAACAGGAUUAGAUACCCUGGUAGUCCACACCGUAAACGAUGAGUGCUAGAUGUUCGAGGGUUUCCGCCCUUGAGUGUCGCAGCU
rnacentral:rRNA from 1 species